rnacentral:lncRNA from 1 species
AAUGGAGGCAUAUUAUUUCAUAUAUUCCUCCAGUGUCUUAUUGAUCACUAAUUAGGUUUUGUUAUUACAAACAGUGCUACAAUGAGCACUUAUGAAUAGAUAUCUUUGCACACUUGUGGAAGUCUGAUAAAUUCCAAGGAGAGGACUUGACAGGUACAUAAGGUAUGUGUGCUUCUAUUUUUCAUAUUUCUGUAGAAAAAUUAUCAUUAAAGAAAAUACAACAAAUUACUCCUAUUAAUGAAGUAUUACAGCACUAAAACAGGCAUUAUAAAAGUAGAGUAUUAAGUAUAAUCUUGCCAUCAUAGAUGAAAAAAAUUUUUUAAUUAUUUUGUUUUAAUUCAUACUCUCCAGAUUAUUAAAGUGGAUAAACAUUUUGACAUUUUAUUUGGCCAUUUGUAUUUAUUUUUUGUAAGCAUCAUGUUUUUUAUUAGGUUAUAAUCACUUUUGAAAAUUGACCUGUAGUAACCAGUUAUUUAGAACAUUGACCUCUUAUCUGUCAUGUUUUUAAAAUAUUUAUCCCAACUUGUUAACUUUUGACUUUAAUAGUACUUUUGAUUGUAUCGAUUUUUAAUUUGUUGGUGGCCAAACUGAAGUCUUUUAUGUGUUCUAAGCUUUGUUUUGUUUAGAAAAUUUUUCUAAGAUUAUAAACAAAUUAACCAAUUUUUUCUUCUAGUAAUUUAAUUUUUUACAAUAACAUUAAAUAUUUAAUACAAUUGGAAUUUGUUUUAAUGAAAAGAAUCUGCCAGGAAUUCCCCUAUAUUUGUUUCCAAAUAAUUAGCCAGUUGCCUCAACAAUAUUUAUGAAAUAAUUCAUCUUUUCUUCACUGAAAGUGUAUGUGGGUAUGUUUGUAGACAACUCUGAACUUUGAAAGAGCAUUUCAUAUGUGCCAUUUCAUUUCUAAACCUUUUGGUCCCAGGUGUGGAAAUAAACCUGAGUGUAAAGGACCUUUGCCAAUUCUUACAGGUGUUUUGGAGGUGUUCAGGGCUUAAUAGGCAUCACAGUACUCAUUUUUUAGUCCCACAUGAGGCCUACAAGUCAGAGGGGAAAAGCUAGAAAUGGGAGUAAUUGGCUUAGGGGAAAUGCAGCUGUGGAACUGCAAUGGGAAUCAUAGGAUACUCAGGGAAUUGUCAAAGUUUAGGAAAAUAAAUGAGGCCCAAUCAGUAUAAAAGGGGGUCCAGUCUGGUUGCAGUGGUACUCUGUUUUUUUGGCAAUAUCCUUACUCUGAUUGUGGGCAGCAUCUAUGUUCCAGGUGGUCUGUCUGGGUGGAGUAGUAUACCCUAGCCAAUGGCUUUGGAACGGGAGUCAGGAUCAAGCCUUUUGACUAGGCAGGGUGUCAGGGAUGUGAUUCAGAAUAGUAUUUAAGUCCUAAUGGGGAAAGAGAAUUUGCAUUAGGAAACAAAGCAGCAACUUAGUUAUGCAGAUUGCACAGAUAUAACAACGAUGUGAGAUGGGGCUUGAAUUGAUCUAAGGGCAUCUUAGCACUCCUCCCAGAAAACUGUGGAAAACCCAUCCUUGGUCUAGUUCCACAGCACUGACAUGAGGACGUACUAAACUGGUAACCCAGGGAGGUCGAAAAAUGAAGCCUGUGUUUAUGUACUGUUCUGUUGUGUACUCCUUCCCAUACAAUACUGUAGUGUACAUUAUCUCACACUGAGAGGAGUGAGGCACCCCUGCUCAAGUCCAUCAUUUGUUCAUUCAUCAAAUAUUCAUGCUAGGCAUGUACUAAGAACUGGAGAUAGAAGAGUGAAUAAAUGAAACAGAAAAAUGUUUAUGUUCUCAUGUUAUGGUCUUGAGGCAGUGCAAUAACUAAAACACAGGGUCUAUUAGAUAAUGAUAAAUGCUUAGGAAAAAGCUAAAGCUAGAUAGGGAAGUGAGUGGUGUCUCUGUGUGUUUGUGUUUUAGUGUGAUCUCCACUGAGAAGGUGACAUUUGAACAUGAAUGUGAAGGAAGUGAGGGAAUAAGCAUGUGAUUAUCUGGGGGAAGUAUUUUGGUGGAAGCAAAAAGGCUCAGAAGCAGGAGUGUGUGUGGCUAGUUUAAGGAACAGCAAGGAAGCUAACGUGGCCAGGAUGAAGUAAAAAAAAGAUGGAUGUGGGCAGUGACUCUAGCUAUUUCUAUCAAGUUUUGGCUUUGAUAUAGAUAUUUGAAGUGAACGUAUAAUAUGUUGUAUUUAGUUGGUUGGCAUCCCUUGCAUAGAGAGGAACCAUCCACAUCUACUCUGUGUGGUUCUACUGGGGGUAUCAAUGAACAGAAUUCUACUCUUCUGAUCACAGGAAGAGGCACUUGGCCCUACAUUGUGUGUUUUAAGACAAUAAUGAUUAUUUGAAUAAUGUGAGAGUGAUUCCAACCAAGGCAAUCAUUACAUUAAAGUUAAACAGGCAGCUGGCCCUGCCCUGAGCCUCCUGUUACAAUGCUGGAAUGUGAGGCUCUUCUCCACUGCUUUGUAAAGGAUGCCUAUAGUGCUUUAAGAGGCAAUGGAGCUAACACAGAAAGAAAAACAGUAUUGAGAGGUGGGGGAGGCAGUGGCAUGACCCCUUAUGACCUAUGCUGAAUAUCAUGUUCUCUGUCCCUCUGCUCUCCCAUCACACAAGUCAAUACAUUCCUCUCCAUGUUACUGAAACUAAUUUGACUGCAGCCAAGAGUCCUGUUUAAAGUAGCAUUUUAAGAUGGUGUGUGGUUCCUUGUGUAAAUCCAGAGCCAUCAGACUACCAUGAAGGAUAAAUGGAAUGUCCUAUGUAAAUUUCAAUCCUAUUAUGGAGGAGGCAGGGUAAAGCUUUAGAGUGCCUGUGGCUGCAGGUUAAGCAAGCCAAACGGUUACCCUCCCUUAAUGUAGCAGCUGGAUUUCAGGAGGUCAAGAAUCACCCUUCCACUCCGGAUAUUUCCUCAUCCAGUAGUUCUUCAUUAUCUUUGGUAAUGGUCUGGUUAUGUUGUGAAAAUUAGCAGAGUUCAGUGUGCUAAUGGUCACCCUUCUGAGGAAAAGUAACUUCUCUUAGUCUAGGAGGUAGCUCAACACGAAGUUAACAAGAUUUUACUAUUUAAUAUAACUUAGGAAGGUAUUAUAUACUUUACACACAUACCUUAGAAUCAGCUUUUAUUGCUGGAACUGAUCCAACCUAAAUCUAUAGUUAUAUUCUGUCAUGUUUAUCUAAUAAGAAUGAAAGGAACAUAGGUAGGACAGUGAUGAGAUCUUACCAUUAGGACAGGAUCAUCUCAAUUGUUUCUUCAGUGAUGUCUGUCUUUACAAUGAAUGACCAUUGGAUCCAGAGUGAUCUCAAUUUAUGUCCAAGUCCUAUAAGUGUUUAGUUUAGGGAGUCCAUCUAAGACAUGAAGAAGGCAAACACUUUAGGCAGAAUCAGUGACACCAGAGAGUUAGCAUGCAAGCAAUAUGCACAGGUAACUCUGAUGCUAGGCUAGAAAUCAUGUGAAAGACCUAUAGACUCAGAAAUUCUUGGAAAACUUACUUCUACACGCAGAGGGAGGCAAUGGGUUAGGUCUCAGUGUCUAAUUUACACAAGACCUUUUCCACCAUACUUCUCCCCUUGUUUUAAACAACAAUCAUUAACGUUUAUUGAUUGCUUGCUAUGCGAGGAA